UACGUAGGGUGCAAGCGUUGUCCGGAAUUAUUGGGCGUAAAGAGCUUGUAGGUGGUUUGUCGCGUCUGCUGUGAAAAUCCGAGGCUCAACCUCGGACUUGCAGUGGGUACGGGCAGACUAGAGUGUGGUAGGGGAGACUGGAAUUCCUGGUGUAGCGGUGGAAUGCGCAGAUAUCAGGAGGAACACCGGUGGCGAAGGCGGGUCACUGGUCCGGUACUGACGCUGAGGUGCGAAAGCGUGGGGAGCAAACAGG
rnacentral:rRNA from 1 species